rfam:Sporothrix schenckii ATCC 58251 unplaced genomic scaffold supercont1.9, whole genome shotgun sequence.
UGGCUGUUAUGGUCGAAGUGGAAGGCGGCCCUUGCUAUUCUUAUUUCCUGCUGUUCCAUGUCCGAGGUGGAUUUAUCCGCCUCGACCCAGUGCGUCGCCCAGUGCGAACGUCGCGGUGGCCACCCACUCGUAUGGGAAACCUACGAUGCUGGAACCCCCUUGUGGCCCUAAGCAAUUGGAGAUGAUACUUCAGGGAGGACUCACUCUGCAGAGGCAUCUUCACCGUCGCGUGGCGGACUGGAUUACGAUCGUAUUGGGUUGGGGCAGCAUUUGAGAUGAAGAAGCCAACUUCUAUUUUU